rnacentral:rRNA from 13 species
UUGCAGUUAAAAAGCUCGUAGUUGAACUUCAGGCCUGGCCGGGCGGUCUGCCUAACGGUAUGUACUGUCUGGCCGGGUCUUACCUCUUGGUGAGCCGGCAUGCCCUUUACUGGGUGUGUCGGGGAACCAGGACUUUUACCUUGAGAAAAUUAGAGUGUUCAAAGCAGGCCUAUGCCCGAAUACAUUAGCAUGGAAUAAUAAAAUAGGACGUGCGGUUCUAUUUUGUUGGUUUCUAGGAUCGCCGUAAUUAUUAAUAGGGA